CCUACGGGUGGCAGCAGUGGGGAAUAUUGCACAAUGGGGGAAACCCUGAUGCAGCGACGCCGCGUGAGUGAAGAAGUAAUUCGUUAUGUAAAGCUCUAUCAGCAGGGAAGAAAAUGACGAUACCUGAGUAAUUACCCCCGGCUAACUACGUGCCAGCAGCCGCGGUAAUACGUAGGGGGAAAGCGUUAUCCGGAUUUACUGGGUGUAAAGGGAGCGUAGACGGCAGUGCAAGUCUGGAGUGAAAGGCGGGGGCUCAAACCCCGGACUGCUCUGGAAACUGUACGGCUGGAGUGAAAGAGAGGUAAGUGGAAUUCCUAGUGUAGCGGUGAAAUGCGUAGAUAUAAGGAAGAACACCAGUGGCGAAGGCGGCUUACUGGAUUGUAACUGACGUUGAGGGACGAAAGCGUGGGGAGCAAACAGGAUUAGAUACCCCGGUAGUC
rnacentral:rRNA from 1 species